GAACGUAUGGCUUAGUAAGUCAGAGCGCUUGGACGGUUUCCAAAAGGCGCAGGUUCAAAUCAUGAUACGUUCA
rnacentral:tRNA from 1 species